rnacentral:ncRNA from 1 species
AAAUGUGCGUUGAUUGGGAAUAGUACGCAUACUUCAUGUGAAAAGAGAGUGGUCUCACCGGCUGAGAGGACCAUCACCCCUGUUGUAGCGGAACCUGCCCUUGAGCAGUCUGGUAAAAGCCUGACCGUCUCAUCCACGAUACGGAUGUUAGAGCGGGCAUAAUUUUAUGCCAAUCAAGGUGGUACCGCGGAUGUAACCCUUCCGUCCUUAUU